UACGGAGGGUGCAAGCGUUAUCCGGAUUUAUUGGGUUUAAAGGGUCCGUAGGCGGAUUUGUAAGUCAGUGGUGAAAUCUCACAGCUUAACUGUGAAACUGCCAUUGAUACUGCAGGUCUUGAGUGUUAUUGAAGUAGCUGGAAUAAGUAGUGUAGCGGUGAAAUGCAUAGAUAUUACUUAGAACACCAAUUGCGAAGGCAGGUUACUAAGCAACAACUGACGCUGAUGGACGAAAGCGUGGGGAGCGAACAGG
rnacentral:rRNA from 1 species